rnacentral:rRNA from 1 species
UACGUAGGGUGCGAGCGUUGUCCGGAAUUAUUGGGCGUAAAGGGCUCGUAGGCGGUUUGUCGCGUCGGGAGUGAAAACACUGGGCUUAACCCAGUGCUUGCUUUCGAUACGGGCAGACUAGAGGUAUGCAGGGGAGAACGGAAUUCCUGGUGUAGCGGUGAAAUGCGCAGAUAUCAGGAGGAACACCGGUGGCGAAGGCGGCUACCUGGACAGAAACUGACGCUGAGGCGCGAAAGCUAGGGGAGCAAACAGG